rnacentral:rRNA from 1 species
GACGGAGGAUGCAAGUGUUAUCCGGAAUCACUGGGCGUAAAGCGUCUGUAGGUGGUCAAAUAAGUCAACUGUUAAAUCUUGAGGCUCAACCUCAAAAUCGCAGUCGAAACUAUUAGACUAGAGUAUAGUAGGGGUAAAGGGAAUUUCCAGUGGAGCGGUGAAAUGCGCAGAUAUCAGGAGGAACACCGAUGGCGAAGGCAGGUCUCUGGGCCGAUACUGACGCUGAGGAGCGAAAGCGUGGGGAGCGAACAGG